UGUCGAGAGGUUUGGGUUUAUCCCCCAACAAGAGCAACCCCCGUGUCAUUUUUUCCGCCCGUUAUGUUGGGGACUCUAAAGAAACUGCCGGGGUCAAAUCGGAGAAAGGUGGGGAUAACAUCAAUUCAUCUUGCCCCUUAUGUCCAGGGCUUCACACAUGCUACAAUGGGCAGUACAAAGGGUUGCCAAACCCCGAGGUGGAGCGAAUCCCUUAAAGCUGGUCUCAUUUCGGAUCGGGGUCUGCAACUCGACCCCGUGAAGUCGGAGUCGCUAGUAAUCGCAGAUCACCAACUGUG
rnacentral:rRNA from 1 species